rnacentral:rRNA from 1 species
UACGUAGGUGGCAAGCGUUGUCCGGAUUUAUUGGGCGUAAAGCGCUCGCAGGUGGUUCAUUGCGUCGUGCGUGAAAGACCCCGGCUCAACUGGGGAGGGUCGUACGAAACGGGUGAACUAGAGGCCAGUAGGGGGAUGCGGAAUUCCGGGUGUAGUGGUGGAAUGCGUAGAGAUCCGGAGGAACACCAGCGGCGAAGGCGGCAUCCUGGACUGGUCCUGACACUCAGGAGCGAAAGCGUGGGGAGCGAACGAGG